rnacentral:rRNA from 1 species
CCUACGGGGGGCAGCUGUGGGGAAUAUUGGACAAUGGGCGAAAGCCUGAUCCAGCCAUGCCGCGUGUGUGAAGAAGGCCUUCGGGUUGUAAAGCACUUUCAGUGGGGAAGAAAGCCUUGGGGCUAAUACCCUCGAGGAAGGACAUCACCCACAGAAGAAGCACCGGCUAACUCCGUGCCAGCAGCCGCGGUAAUACGGAGGGUGCGAGCGUUAAUCGGAAUUACUGGGCGUAAAGCGCGCGUAGGCGGUCUGAUAAGCCGGUUGUGAAAGCCCCGGGCUCAACCUGGGAACGGCAUCCGGAACUGUCAGGCUAGAGUGCAGGAGAGGAAGGUAGAAUUCCCGGUGUAGCGGUGAAAUGCGUAGAGAUCGGGAGGAAUACCAGUGGCGAAGGCGGCCUUCUGGACUGACACUGACGCUGAGGUGCGAAAGCGUGGGUAGCAAACAGGAUUAGAUACCCUAGUAGUC